UCGCCUCGCCUCGCCUCAGCCGCCGCCCGGCCCUGGUGCUGACCGCGGCCCUGGUCCGUCCCGCCCGCGGUGGCGGCUCCCCGCAGCUGCCGGCCCGCUCUCCCGGCCUCAUUUGAGUGAUAAUUCAAACCACUGAAGCUGUAUAAUUUUUGUUAUUUUAAGUUGCAAGCCACCCUGGAAUCUCUCCACUGCAGAAGAGAGCAAGCUGUGUUGGAAAGAGCUGCUGCCAUGAGGAGCAUUGGGAUGCAGCUGAGGCAUUGAGCUGCAGGUGCAGAGCCUUGCUGGGGCCUGUGUUCGAUUGCCUUUUGCACGGUGUUAGCCACAUCAUUCCCAGUAAGAGAGACUGACGUGCUUUGGUCACAGUAACUCCACGUGCCACCUAGACUUGCAACACAAGUAAGCUGGACUUUGCACAGGAGGGAAAAAGCCUGACAUUCCUGAAAAUGGCAGCAGAGACAUCCACAGAAGUUCCAAAACCUACUAGACAGUUCGUCCUUAAAGAACAGGUAAUUGCAGAAAGAAAAUGGUUGAAGCUUGAAGAAACAACUUAUACUGAUGCCUUUGGUAAAACCAGAACUUGGGAAACAGUAAAGCGUACUGGCAACAAAAAGGGCAUUUCAGCUGAUGGUGUAGCAGUGAUAGCUGUGCUACAGAGGACUCUCCACUACGACUGUGUUGUCCUAGUGAAACAGUUCAGGCCCCCAAUUAACGGCUAUUGCUUGGAAUUUCCUGCAGGCCUCAUUGAAGAAAAUGAGACUGCGGAAAGUGCAGCAUUGCGAGAGUUGGAAGAAGAAACUGGGUACAAGGGCGAAGUCGUUGAAUGUACUCCAGCUCUCUGCUUGGACCCAGGCCUGUCAAACAGCACAACACACAUCGUGAGCGUCACCAUUAAUGGUGAUGAGGCUGAGAAUACAAGACCUAAGCAAAAACUCGAUGAUGGAGGUACGUUACGUAGCUGUGCUCACAGGGACAGUAAGGUCCAGUGUGAUCUUCAUAUGGCGGGUUUUGCUUAGAAAAUGUCAGUUAAAAAUGGUUAUUUGGCUUCGUUAAUCUCCUGACCAUAAUCAAACAUGCAUGAGAUUGGCUUUGGGCCUAGACAUGGGGCACUAUUCACUCAAGUAUUGCUCCUAUAGCACCAGUAUCGCAGGAAAUACAAAUUACUGGAUCCACAACAGCCCCAAAGACAACCAGUUCAGACAGGCCGGGGAGGUGUAAGUCAACACAAAUUCAUCAAGCACAAACCCUUUGCCUUUGUGCUGGUUUGCUCUUCAAAUGCAUCCGCAAUCCAUUACUGUACCGGUAUAAGCCAAACCCAAGCCCACUGCAACAGUAGGUUUUCCAUUCUCAGAAGGGAGAAGGUCUCAUUUUAGAAGGAUUCUCAUCCUCCGUAGCUCUCAGCUACACUGUUUUUUCCAGUUGCUUUCUGCCAAACCUGUUUUUUAAUGACCCCAGUCACUGCCUUCCCUCCUUUAAUCGAUUUUUCUGUGAUACAUGAGGGCUCACGGCUUUUGGAUGCUGAUGAGCAUUAAGCCAGUUUGUUUCCCCUUCGAAGUUGUAAGAAACAGGACGCCAAGGUAGACUUUGCUACUGUUCACUAAAUUAAAGGUGCAUACAAUUUUUUUUUCUUCUCUCCUAGAAUUUGUGGAAGUUAUUUCACUUCCAAAGAAUGACCUACUGCAAAGAAUUGAUGAACUAGUAGCCGAAGAACAUAUUGCAGUGGAUGCCAGGGUUUAUACUUACGCCUUGGCCCUGAAGCGUGCAGCGGAAAAACCGCUCCAAGUUCCUUUUAUGAAGUUCUAAAACUAGAGGAUAAGAAAUUUUGUUGAAAGCUGCCCAAUUCAGAGGGCUUAGAAGCAUAACUCUUCUUGUAAUAAAGGUCCUUUGCUUUACUCGUAGAGCAAAAAAAAAAAGUAUUUGUAGGAACAAUUCUGGUCUUUUUAUCUGUAAUUAAUGUAACUGACAAAAAGCAUUUAUUCUCACUGCUCAUGAUAUCAAACCUUGGCAGAAUAAUCAUAAUAAAAAUGCUGUUUAAUUUUCA